rnacentral:rRNA from 1 species
AAAGCUCGUAGUUGGAUUUCGGGUGGGUUCCAGCGGUCCGCCUAUGGUGAGUACUGCUGUGGCCCUCCUUUUUGCCGGGGACGGUCUCCUGGGCUUCACUGUCCGGGAAUCGGAGUCGGCGAUGAUACUUUGAGUAAAUUAGAGUGUUCAAAGCAAGCCUACGCUCUGAAUACUUUAGCAUGGAAUAUCGCGAUAGGACUCUGGCCUAUCUCGUUGGUCUGUAGGACCGGAGUAAUGAUUAAGAGGGACAGUCGGGGGCAUUCGUAUUUCAUUGUCAGAGGUGAAAUUCUUGGAUUUAUGAAAGACGAACUACUGCGAAAGCAUUUGCCAAGGAUGUUUUCAUUAAUCAAGAACGAAAGUUGGGGGCUCGAAGACGAUUAGAUACCGUCGUAGUCUCAACCAUAAACGAUGCCGACUAGGGAUUGGAGGAUGUUCUUUUGAUGACUUCUCCAGCACCUUAUGAGAAAUCAAAGUUUUUGGGUU